AACCCUAAGCGGGGGAUCACUUGGUUUGUGGGUCGAUGAAGAACGCAGCAAACUGCGUGUUGACAUGUGAACUGCAGGACACAUGAACAUUGACAUUUUGAACGCAUAUUGCGGUCCAUACUG
rnacentral:rRNA from 1 species